GCCCAGGUGGUGGAAUUGGCAGACACGCUGGCUUCAGGAGUCAGUGCCAGCAAUGGCGUGAGAGUUCAAAUCUCUCCCUGGGCACCU
rnacentral:tRNA from 1 species